ensembl:misc_RNA
CUGAGUAAGCUCCAAAAUCAAUCCAUACUCCAAAUAACAGACUUAAGAUGUUCAAUACUGGAACUCUUUGGUAUCAAUUAAAAAAGAAAC